UACAGAGGGUGCGAGCGUUAAUCGGAGUUACUGGGCGUAAAGGGUUCGUAGGUGGCUUGUUAAGUCAGACGUGAAAUCCCUCGGCUCAACCGGGGAACUGCGUCUGAGACUGAUGAGCUCGAGUGCAGGAGAGGAACGCGGAAUUCCAGGUGUAGCGGUGAAAUGCGUAGAUAUCUGGAGGAACACCGGUGGCGAAGGCGGCGUUCUGGACUGCAACUGACACUGAGGAACGAAAGCCAGGGGAGCAAACGGG
rnacentral:rRNA from 1 species